rnacentral:rRNA from 1 species
UCCGUAGGCGGACUAAUAAGUCAGGGGUGAAAUCCAACAGCUUAACUGUUGAACUGCCUUUGAUACUGUUAGUCUUGAAUUAUAUGGAAGUAGAUAAAAUGUGUAGUGUAGCGGUGAAAUGCUUAGAGAUUACACAGAAUACCGAUUGCGAAGGCAGUCUACUACGUAUAUAUUGACGCUAAUGGACGAAAGCGUGGGGAGCGAACAGGAUUAGAUACCCUGGUAGUCC